UCACUGGCCACGCCCUCUCUGCAGGACUCCAGCCUCAAGAGCUUUAAGUCUCUCCCUGCGCUCCCUCACUGACACAGCUGGCGCCAGCUAGCAACCCUGGAAGUGCUCCUGUCCCUGGUCCCAGGUCCCUGGUCCCUGGUAUUUAUUUUUGUAAGACCAGCAGAGAUGCUCCAAGCUCCACAUGGUCUCAGCAAGACCCAAUCGCCACUUUCCUGGCACUCUGGGUAUUUCCUGAGCUCCACAAAAUUGCUCUCUGCUUCCCUCUCUUUCCGUGUUAUUCUUGCUUCUGGAACCCAACGUACCAUGUUUCUUGGCUUCUCGAACCCAAUAGUCCUCGCUGGACCCACACCCACUCCCGGGCGGCAGCUGCAGCGAGGGCGUGACGGAAGAGGCCAGAAGGACCGUCAGAACGCAGUGGCAGAAACUUGAAGAACUGUGGUUUCAUCAGCAAUGUCACAUGGGCUGGCAAGAUGGCUCAGAGAGUGAAGGCACUUGCUGCCAAACCUGACGAUCUGAGUUUUUAUCUCCAGGGACCCACAAGGUGAGGCUUCAAUGUGCAAUCCACAUCAACCUCAACCUCAAGAACCUCCACCCUCAAGUCUCUCAGAUCGGAUCGUCAUUCAACACCUCAAAUUAAAAAGAAUUAAAAAGCACGAGCCUUCACACCUGGGUAGUCACUUAAAACGAUGGCAUAAGAGGUACCAAGGUAACUCAAAUCCUUGUAGGACAGUGAGUCUUCACAGUCUACUUCAAUCCUCUACACCAAGUAGAAGUGCCCAUUUUUGACUAGUUAAGUCAAGAGGCAACCAAUACUUCCAAAGUAGUACACAUUUCUGAUUAAGUGGCAAAUUUCCAACUGGGCUUCGAGUGGCACAAGGUAAAACCAAGCACUCACAUCUUAAUGCACUAAGUACAUCUUGGACAAGGACAAAGCCCGCCAUGUGUGGCUAAGCAAAGCCCGCCAAGAUUAAGCCCGCCAAGACUAAGCCCGCCAAGACUAAGCCCGCCAAGAAUAUAUCAGAAAAAAACCCUCAAGGGACAAUCACGUGACAUCGCCAUCUUGGCCACCCCAAAGCAUGUGCUACAUUGUCCUCUAGGCUAACUUUGGCCACCAGACUGGCCUGUGAAAAACAAAGCCAGCUUCCUUAUACUGCAGCAAGAGCUCGAGACGCCAUCUUCUCUUGUAUAACCUAAAUGCCCUACUUCCACAUUACAUGUUAGAAUAAAGGUGGGGUUGUCGAGCCUUGGGUAGAGCAGCCGAGGCACCAUUUGAUAAACCCUAACAAGCACCCCUUAGAAUCUGGGCAGAGCACCCAGCAAUAUCGAAACAUCGAUUUCAAGCCCUAUCCUGAAGUCUUAUAAAGCUCCUUUCACAUAACACCACACAUGAACACGAGAGCUUGAUUUUCUGAUUCCAGUUACCAUGAGUCUUAAAAAGCCACAAAUCAAGUCCAAACCCACACACAUAUAAAGCCUUUAGCUGGUGCAGCACACAUGAUUGCCUCUGUCCAGUCCACUGUCUACCUCGACCCCCUAAUUCUUGCCAUAACUGGCUCAUGUCACGCAGCAACUGUAACAUGGCGGAAACGGGCUCUCCACGCCCUUAACACCCACUCAGCUUAAGUGCAGUCAUUUUUCUAAGCCAUAGUUUCACUCACACACCACCAAACGAUCAGCAGCACAGCAAGAGGAAAGAAAAGAGGUAUGGCUAUUCCAGGUAGUACAAUAAUAACUCACAAAACCAACUUAUAUCCAUCCACCAAAUGCCCCGAUGGGCGAGGAAAAAAAUGAAGCAGGUAUCCACGGCCCCGGUGGGCAAAAAGAGAAAAAAAAAAAAUUAAGCAGGUAUCCAAGGCCCCGAUGGGCAAGGAAAGACUAAACUAGCAGGUAUCCGAGGUCCCGAUGGACCAAGAAAUACGUUUUCUUGUAAAAAAGCAGGUAUCCAUUACCCGAUGGGCUAAGGAAAAAAAAAAAAAGGAGCAGGUAUCCUCAGCCCAGAUGGGCAAGUUUAGAAGAAGAAAAAGAAGAGAAGGAAGAGGGAAAAAACAAAACGAAUUAAAAGCAGGUACGUUUCCACAGCCCCACUGGACAUGGAGUGAAGGGGCAGGGAAGGAGGACAGACAUUCAACUGUAGCCCCCAUGGGCAAAAACAGAGAUGGAAUAAAAGAAAGGUAAGUGCACAAAAGUCCACAAAACAGAGAUGGCGACUAAAAUGACUGACAAGGAAAUAGUCAUUAAAAAUGAAAAAUUGUCCAAAAAUAUUACAAAUAUCAAAAUAUGAAAGACGUGUCAAGAAAAGCCUACCAGAACAUAUAAAAUCUUCAAAAAUAUUAUAGAAUCUUGAUAUAUUUUCUUAAUUACACCAUAAGGCAUGGUGGUGAGGGAACUAAAAAUGUUCCCAGAGACCCCGAUAGAUGGACAGAGACCACAGAGGAGGCUCACAUCCACGGGAAACUGGCAAACAUGGCUGCGGCAAGCACUUGCAUGGUUUUAAAUGAUCGUGACGCCGAAGGCGGAGAGACCAGAAGAGGAGUGGCCAGAAAUGCGGAAAAGUCCCGACUUCUUAUUGGCGUUUUAAUGCAAACUAUUUUCUAAAAAGAGUAAUUAAGAUGAAAAUUAAUUAUGAUUGUACCAAAACUCAUGACAGAGCGAUCGAGAACCACCAAAUUUGUAUAUUUUGUGUGAUAUUGAAGGAUUAUCCUCUAUUUUAUAGCUUAUAGGAAAGGCACAUAAACGUUGUAUAAUGUAUAUGCAUAUUUUCAAUAUAUCGUCUACUUGGACAUCCAACCUUGCAUAGCCCCUCGUCUUGGUGACUAAAAUGCUUUACGGAUCAAUUGGUGGGCUCGAGGUAAGGAAAAAGAAGAGGUGCUUCACAAAAUCGUUCCUUGGUUCCUAAAUUAUUAGGGUAUUAUUGGCUGUGACCUAUUUGUACUGAUUGCGCACAGAAUUUUGGUUCUGUAUCAUUUUUGUACUUUCCGGGAAUCUGGUAACUCCAAACUUUGAACCAAAAAGGCACUAAAAAGUUUACUUGCUAGCAGCGGUAGAGAAACAGCUCAGCGGUAUGGCACUUGCCCUAGAGAAACAGUUAACUUAGAGAAUUGUCCAAUUUUAUUCAUUGAAAACCACAGAACAGCCGCCUGAAAGAGAUUAGACACUGGGUGUUAAGAACAAUCAAAGAAUACAGUGCUUGGUUGAUUCAAUUAAACAAAAUGGUCACUUUGAGCAUCUGAUGAAUAACAACACAAAAUUGUUUUUGCUUAGGGACCUUCCAAGUACCUACAAUUCACUAAUCUGAACAUCGCAGUGGUUCACAUAGGGACAGAAAUGAAGAAACGAUGCCUUCAUUUCUACUGAAGAAACCCUGUCUCAACAAAAGAACAUGAAAAUAAUGAAUAAACAAAUGGUAUACACAGCCUGAAUGAGCCAGCAGAUGGCGGCAUGAAUCUUUCAAAGGCAUUUGAAGCCAGCCUUGGAGUCCAAGAUUGGGAUCUGAAUUCGCCUCAAGAAACCCAUGUCUUGUCAGCCUAAAAUAUACUGGGGGGAUUUGGUCUUGCAUAAAAAAGUUGAAUAAAAGCCGGGCGGUGGUGACACACGCCUUUAAUCCCAGCACUCAGGAGGCAGAGGCAGGCGGAUCUCGGGGAGUUUGAGGCCAGCCUGGUCUACAAAGAGCUAGUUCUGGGACAGGCACCAAAGCUACAGAGAAACCCUGUCUCGAAAAACCAAAAAAAAAAAAAAAGUUGA
rnacentral:antisense_RNA from 1 species